UCCGUAGGUGGUUUGUCAAGUCUGUCGUCAAAGAAUGGAGCUUAACUCCAUAGAGGCGGUGGAAACUGAGAGACUAGAGUUCGGUAGGGGUAGCGGGAAUUCCCAGUGUAGCGGUGAAAUGCGUAGAUAUUGGGAAGAACAUCGGUGGCGAAAGCGUGCUACUGGGCCGAAACUGACACUGAGGGACGAAAGCUAGGGUAGCGAAAG
rnacentral:rRNA from 1 species